rnacentral:misc_RNA from 1 species
UACGGAGGAUCUAAGCGUUAUCCAGAAUCAUUGGGUUUAAAGGGUCCGUAGGCGGUUUAAUAAGUCAGUGGUGAAAUCUGGUUGCUCAACGAUCAAACUGCCAUUGAUACUGUUAGACUUGAAUUACAAGGAAGUAACUAGAAUAUGUAGUGUAGCGGUGAAAUGCUUAGAUAUUACAUGGAAUACCAAUUGCGAAGGCAGGUUACUACUUGAGGAUCGACGCUGAUGGACGAAAGCGUGGGGAGCGAACAGG